AUUGAACGCUGGCGGCAGGCCUAACACAUGCAAGUCGAACGGUAACAGGAAGCAGCUUGCUGCUUUGCUGACGAGUGGCGGACGGGUGAGUAAUGUCUGGGAAACUGCCUGAUGGAGGGGGAUAACUACUGGAAACGGUAGCUAAUACCGCAUAACGUCGCAAGACCAAAGAGGGGGACCUUCGGGCCUCUUGCCAUCGGAUGUGCCCAGAUGGGAUUAGCUAGUAGGUGGGGUAACGGCUCACCUAGGCGACGAUCCCUAGCUGGUCUGAGAGGAUGACCAGGCACACUGGAACUGAGACACGGUCCAGACGCCUACGGGAGGCAGCAGUGGGGAAUAUUGCACAAUGGGCGAAAGCCUGAUGCAGCCAUGCCGCGUGUAUGAAGAAGGCCUUCGGGUUGUAAGUACUUUCAGCGGGGAGGAAGGGAGUAAAGUUAAUACCUUUGCUCAUUGACGUUACCCGCAGAAGAAGCACCGGCUAACUCCGUGCCAGCCGCCGCGGUAA
rnacentral:rRNA from 1 species